GAUGAAGAACGUAGCGAAAUGCGAUAAGUAAUGUGAAUUGCAGAAUUCAGUGAAUCAUCGAAUCUUUGAACGCACAUUGCACCCGCCAGUAUUCUGGCGGGCAUGCCUGUCUGAGCGUCAUUUCAACCCUCAUGCCCCUAGGGCGUGGUGUUGGGGAUCGGCCAAAGCCCGCGAGGGACGGCCGGCCCCUAAAUCUAGUGGCGGACCCGUCGUGGCCUCCUCUGCGAAGUAGUGAUAUUCCGCAUCGGAGAGCGAUGAGCCCCUGCCGUUAAACCCCCAACUUUCCAAGGUUGACCUCAGAUCAGGUAGGAAUACCCGCUGAACUUAAGCAUAUCAAUAAGCGGAGGA
rnacentral:misc_RNA from 1 species